GGGCCCGCACAAGCGGUGGAGCAUGUGGUUUAAUUCGAAGCAACGCGAAGAACCUUACCAGGGCUUGACAUCCCGCCGGCGGAGGGGGUAACGCCCCUCCUUCUACGGACGGCGGAGACAGGUGGUGCAUGGUUGUCGUCAGCUCGUGUCGUGAGAUGUUGGGUUAAGUCCCGCAACGAGCGCAACCCUUGCCUUUAGUUGCCAUCGCGUGAUGGCGGGCACUCUAAAGGGACUGCCGGGGAUAACUCGGAGGAAGGUGGGGAUGACGUCAAAUCAUCAUGCCCCUUAUGUUCUGGGCUACACACGUGCUACAAUGGCCGGCACAGCGGGACGCGAAGCGGCGACGCGGAGCAAAUCACCAAAGCCGGUCCCAGUUCGGAUCGCAGGCUGAAACCCGCCUGCGUGAAGUCGGAGUUGCUAGUAAUCGCAGAUCAGAAUGCUG
rnacentral:rRNA from 1 species